CAGGAACAGAAGGCAGAGCUCAAAAUGACCUUCACCAUGGCCUGGUCCUGUCUCCUCUUCACAUUCUUUGUUCAGUGCACAGUGACCUGGGCCCAGUCUGUGCUGACUCAGCAGCCCUCACUUUCUGGGACUCCAGGAGAGAUGGUCACCAUCUCCUGCACUGGAAGUAGCAACAAUAUUGGUUACAGUUUUGUGAACUGGUAUCAGCAGUUCCCAGCAACAGCCCCUAAACUCCUCAUCUAUGAUGACAGUGAUCGACCCUCAGGGAUUCCUGAUCGCCUCUCUGGCUCCAAGUCUGGCAACUCUGGUUCACUGACCAUCACUGGGCUCCAGCCUGAUGAUGAGGUCAACUAUUUCUGUCAGUCUUAUGACAGUAGCCUCAAUGCUCCCACAGUGCUCCAGGUUCAUGGGGAAGUGAGACAAAAACCCCUUUACCAUAUGUCAGAAGGGCCAAUGCCCAGCAUCUUUGCUUGGGCCUGGCCUCUGGCUUUUUCUGCUACCACUAACAUAGGCCCAAAUGAAUAUCCUGGCACUUUCUUUGAGUGUGGAGCCUCUUUUUAUGUGUUUUCAGAGUCACUCACAGCAGGAUGUUCCUAG